GGUGGCAUAGUCUAGUGGUUAUGAUAUCUGCUUUACAUUGUGUUCGCAGAGGGUCUCAGGUUCGAUCCCUGAUGCAGCCA